UGAACCCUCACUCCCCCUCACGGGUGGAGUGGACCUGGCCUCCUCAGCACCUGUGGCUGGGCUGGCUGAAAUUCGGAGGCUCCCGCUCGGGCCUGUAUGGCAGCAGCAAGGUAGGUAGUUUACUACUCCGGCUGAUGCUUUGGGCACGUGGCAUGAGCCCGCAGGAAAUUCUCACCU
rnacentral:misc_RNA from 1 species